AGAGUUUGAUCCUGGCUCAGGAUGAACGCUGGCGGCGUGCCUAAUACAUGCAAGUCGAGCGAACCACUUCGGUGGGAAGCGGCGAACGGGUGAGUAACACGUAGGUGAUCUGCCCAUCAGACGGGGACAACGAUUGGAAACGAUCGCUAAUACCGGAUAGGACGAAAGUUUAAAGAUGCUCCUGGCAUCACUGAUGGAUGAGCCUGCGGCGCAUUAGCUAGUUGGUGGGGUAAAGGCCUACCAAGGCGACGAUGCGUAGCCGACCUGAGAGGGUGAACGGCCACACUGGGACUGAGACACGGCCCAGACUCCUACGGGAGGCAGCAGUAGGGAAUCUUCGGCAAUGGGCGAAAGCCUGACCGAGCAACGCCGCGUGAAUGAAGAAGGCCUUCGGGUUGUAAAAUUCUGUUAUAAGGGAAGAAAGGUGAUAGGAGGAAAUGACUAUCAAUUGACGGUACCUUAUGAGAAAGCCACGGCUAGCUACGUG
rnacentral:rRNA from 1 species